rnacentral:lncRNA from 1 species
ACUAUUCGCUAAAAGCCUAAAAUGAGCUCCUUUUAAAUUAGAGGUCUUUUCGCAAAUAAUGGUCACUCGUGGUGCGUUUUUGGGCCACCUUCCAAUGGCCAUCAUCUUGAAUCGGUGCUUCGAUGGCUCUUGUUCGAAAAUUAUAAAGGCAAGUUCGUUUCUUGUUUUUCUUUGAUCUAAUAAUAUAAAUACUUUACGCUUUGUAGUUUUUCUUUCGUCUCCACGCAAUUUCUUGUUCUUGUAGCUUUCACAAAUGUGUGAUGCUUCCGUUCCGUAUUUGUCUUGAAUCAUCAAACAUAAAUAUUUGUAUUCAACUCUAGCAAAGGAUCAUGCCACUCUGAUGCGAUUCAAAGAAGAAGGAAAAUGAAAAACAGGUGUGAUCUUUUCAUAACAUAAACCACAUGAUUAUGAUUAUAUGAUUAUAUAUAUUAUUUGUGAUGUGAUUCAUAUUUUUUUUCACGAUCAGGUAUAAUUGUGUGCUUAAAUCUAUUUUUGUAUAGAUUGUUUUGUAUCUUAUUAUAUGGUCUGUUUCUUCUUUUUCGAUUCUUAAUUUUCGUUAGUAUCUAUGGUGAUUGUUUGCGAUUUUUGGACGGUGGUGGUGGUGGUGGUGGUGGUGGAGGUGAUGACUUAAUUAGUGCGAGUGGUGUAAUUUAAUUGACUAGUUUUAUUGCUUGAUUAUAUCUUUACCUUUGUAAUUUAGGAUAUAGGAGUAAUCAGAGAUCUUAAUUUUAGUCAUUUUUGAAUGCUAAGUUGACUUUUUUUAACUUCGUUUAUAUUUGAAAUUUGACUUUUUUCUACGUGUUAUAGUUUGAAUUUUUUUGUCUUCAUUACAAGAUUAAUGAUAGUCUUUAUUGUUGAUUAUUGUACCUGAAUUUAAUUAUUCAUGGCGGCCAUAAAGGAUGGCUUUAUUGUGCCUUAAUUAGGUAUUAUUGCGCCAUUAAUGGUUGAUUGUUUAAUUGGUGUAUACCAAAUUUACAUUAUGAUGAUAAUAAUAAUUAGCUAAAAUCGUGAUA